rnacentral:rRNA from 1 species
UACGAGGGGGGCGAGCGUUGUUCGGAAUUACUGGGCGUAAAGCGUGCGCAGGCGGUUUGUUAAGUCCGUUGUGAAAGCCCCGAGCUCAACUUGGGAAUUGCAGUGGAUACUGGCAGGCUGGAGUACGGUAGAGGAAGGUGGAAUUCCCGGUGUAGCAGUGAAAUGCGUAGAUAUCGGGAGGAACACCAGUGGCGAAGGCGGCCUUCUGGACCAGUACUGACGCUCAUGCACGAAAGCGUGGGGAGCAAACAGG